rnacentral:lncRNA from 1 species
AUGGACAAGCUAGGUGGAGCCUACCCCAGGCCAGCAGGUCCCACAGUACUGUCCCCAGCUCAGCUCUGGCUGGCUGGCACUGCAUCACCUGUGUGUGUGGCCAGUGUGGACAGGAGGAGUGUGCGCAACCAUGGUGGACAGGCAGUGUGCAGCCAGUGUGGACAGUGUGUAUGUGGCCAGUGUGGACAGGAGGAGUGUGUGCAGCCAGAGUGGACAGGUAGAGUGGGCACAGCCAGUGUAGACAGGUGGAGCGGGCAAGCAGACACCUGGAACAAGAGCUGGCGUGAGGACAAGGAAGGGCCACACGCUCAGAAGACCCUGGAACUGCCUGGGAGAAAGGAGGGUGAGUGUGGCUGUGCAAGAUGUGGGGGUGCUCUUUACAAAAUUCUGAGUGAUGGGCGAUGGGCACUGAGUGGCUGGGGUGAGACCACCCAUCAGCGCAGCCCAGGGAGGAACACUCCUGGCCUGCACACACCUGUGCCUGCACACCUGUACCUGUGCACCUGGCCUACACACACCUGGCCUGCACACACCUGUGCUUGCACACCAGUGCCUCUGCAUGCCUGCCUGUACCUGUACAACUGGCCUCUACACUCCUGGCCUGCACACACCUGUGCCUGCACACCUGUACCUGUGUACCUGGCCUACACACACCUGGCCUGCACACACCUGUGCCUCCACACUCCUGUGGCUGCACACCUGUACCUGUAUACCAGGCCUCUGCACACUUGGCAUGUGCACACCUGCCUGCACACCUGUACCUGUGCACCUGGCCUCUUCACACCUGGCUUGCACACACCUGUGCCUGUACACAUCUGUGCCUGCACACCUGGCCUCUGCACACCUGGCCUCCACACACUUGUGCCUGCACACCUGUACCUCUGCACGCCUGUACCUGAACACCUGGCCUCUGCACACCUGUGCCUGCACACACCUGUGCCUCUGCACACCUGUGCCUGUACAGCUAUACCUCUGCACGCCUUGCCUCUGCACUCCUGGCCUGCACACACCUGUGCCUGCACACCUGUACCUGUGCACCUGGCCUACACACACCUGGCCUGCACACACCUGUGCCUGCACACCCGUGCCUCUGCAAGCCUGUACCUGCACACCUGGCUUGCACAUGCCUGGCCUUCACACACCUGGCCUGCACACCUGUACCUGUACACCUGUGCCAGCACACUUGGUCUCAGAAGCAGCUCACCUUGA